CCGUUUGAAUCUGUUGAGGACAGAUAAAAUGAAUAUGGGUAUCAAUACCUCCCGCGGUCACAAUCAUGCCUUCUCCGGCAAUGAUUUCGGUCGAUGCGCCAAUAACCAGCGCGGGAUCAACUCCGUCCAUCGUAUCGGGGUUACCGGAUUUGCCGAUUGCGCAGAUGAGGCCAUCGCGGAUGCCGAUGUCUGCUUUUACAAUCCCCCAAUGAUCAAUGAUGACGGCGUUGGUGAUGACUGUAUCAGGCGUACCAUCACUGCGAAGGGCAGAGGUGGACUGACCCAUUCCAUCACGA
rnacentral:sRNA from 1 species